AAAGGAAGCGAUUCCGGCGGGGGAUGGGCAUGCGGCGCAUUAGCUAGUCGGCGGGGUAACGGCCCACCGAGGCGACGAUGCGUAGGGGUUCUGAGAGGAAGGUCCCCCACACUGGUACUGAGACACGGACCAGACUCCUACGGGAGGCAGCAGUGAGGAAUAUUGGUCAAUGGGCGGGAGCCUGAACCAGCCAAGUCGCGUGAGGGAAGACGGUCCUACGGAUUGUAAACCUCUUUUGCCGGGGAGCAACGGGGUCCUUGCGAGGGCCAAUGAGAGUACCCGGAGAAAAAGCAUCGGCUAACUCCGUGCCAGCAGCCGCGGUAAUACGGAGGAUGCGAGCGUUAUCCGGAUUUAUUGGGUUUAAAGGGUGCGUAGGCGGGCUGUUAAGUCAGCGGUCAAAUGUCGGGGCUCAACCCCGGCCUGCCGUUGAAACUGGCGGCCUCGAGUGGGCGAGAAGUAUGCGGAAUGCGUGGUGUAGCGGUGAAAUGCAUAGAUAUCACGCAGAACUCCGAUUGCGAAGGCAGCAUACCGGCGCCCGACUGACGCUGAGGCACGAAAGCGUGGGUAUCGAACAGGAUUAGAUACCCUGGUAGUCCACGCAGUAAACGAUGAAUGCUAGCUGUCCGGGACUUCGGUUCUGGGUGGCACAG
rnacentral:rRNA from 1 species